UACGUAGGGUGCGAGCGUUGUCCGGAAUUAUUGGGCGUAAAAGGGCUCGUAGGCGGCCAACUAAGUCGGACGUGAAAUCCCCAGGCUCAACCUGGGAACUGCGUCCGAUACUGGAUGGCUUGAAUCCGGGAGAGGGAUGCAGAAUUCCAGGUGUAGCGGUGAAAUGCGCAGAUAUCAGGAGGAACACCGAUGGCGAAGGCAGGUCUCUGGGCCACUACUGACGCUGAGAAGCGAAAGCGUGGGGAGCGAACAGG
rnacentral:rRNA from 1 species